rnacentral:tRNA from 1 species
UCCCUGGUGGCUUAGACAGUAAAGAGUCUGCCUGUAAGCAGAAGACCCAGGUUCAAUCCCUGGGUCGGGAA